AUACGUAGGGUGCGAGCGUUAAUCGGAAUUACUGGGCGUAAAGCGUGCGCAGGCGGCUUUGCAAGACAGAUGUGAAAUCCCCGGGCUCAACCUGGGAACUGCAUUUGUGACUGCAAGGCUAGAGUACGGUAGAGGGGGAUGGAAUUCCGCGUGUAGCAGUGAAAUGCGUAGAUAUGCGGAGGAACACCAAUGGCGAAGGCAAUCCCCUGGACCUGUACUGACGCUCAUGCACGAAAGCGUGGGGAGCAAACAGGAUUAGAAACCCUUGUAGUCC
rnacentral:rRNA from 1 species